rnacentral:rRNA from 1 species
UACGUAGGGCGCAAGCGUUGUCCGGAAUUAUUGGGCGUAAAGAGCUCGUAGGCGGUUUGUCGCGUCGGCCGUGAAAACUUGGGGCUUAACCCCAAGCCUGCGGUCGAUACGGGCAGACUUGAGUUCGCAGGGGAGACUGGAAUUCCUGGUGUAGUGGUGGAAUGCGUAGAUAUCGGGAGGAACACCAGUGGCGAAGGCGGUUGCCUGGAGCUUUGCUGACGCUGAGGCGCGAAAGCGUGGGGAGCGAGUCCGGCG